GGUUAUCAGAUCAAAGCUCUUUUUUGAUUGGCUAACAGCUAGUGAUGGGCUAAACCACACGUGUAAUAUUUGAGACGAUACUGAUUACUAUUUACAUAUAAUAUUCUGUACCAGUUACUGGUGAUUUUUGUCAUUCUUGAAAUUUUGGGAGUAUCGAUACCAAUGUUGAUACUUUCAUUACUACUAACAACCGACUACGCUCUAUUGAGAGCACACACACAGACACCCCCCACCACCAUGUAGAUCAGCUAACAUCCUAAUGAAUAAAACGCCUUAAUUUAGAUAUGAUAGAAAAAUUGGGUGAGACUCACGUUUAAUAGUUUUGUUUGGCUUCAUUGUCUUAAUAUUGGAACGGUACUGAGGGUGGACUAUGGAAAGGUUUCAGAAAAAUCCCUGCUUGUGUUGACUAAAAAACACCUUGUUCGGACUCUGCGUUCUUCAACCCUCUCUUUGAUUUCUCUGUUGUGUGGUUCCUUAGGGUUCCCUCUUUUUGGUGUCCCUUCCUAUGGUGAACACUUCAACUCUCCAUACUGCAGGAUAUAGUUGCUUGACAGAGAAAGCACGUUGGACGGACACCUCCACAGGUUUCUGCUAAACCAGAUAAACCAGCCUCUGCUGGAACGUAUAUAUGUGGUUCAGCGCUGUCAGGAGUAUUCAUCAGGACGUCUCUUGCCUGGACUUCAUCUGCUUUGUCAGGGGACCCAAAGCUGGUAUUCUGCCCAGAAUUCUUUUCUGGGAGCGUCAAUCUCUCUCUCUGUAUUUUAUCAAAAAAUGUUUGCGUAUGUUUUAAUUUUUGUUUUUCUUUCUUUUAGAUUCUCCUCUCUUCACUAUUUUUGGACAGGUCUAAACUGACCCUCCAAGAGUAGAGAUGGAAGCAACAGCCUGGAUGAGAAACAAAAAAGUGUCCGGUCUCGGAGCCGCCAAGAGCCUUUUCUUUAUUUUCUGUCUGCUGACUCUGAUCUCCCAGACGAGCUGCAAUUUGGACAAGCAAGAACUGGCCAAGUUGAAACAAGGUAACCAGUUUCUGAAAGAGCAACUGGAAGCAUUGAAGGCUGAUCAGAAGUCGCUGAGCAGCAUUUUAGAGUUUGUAGCGAUACCAGACCAGUGGAUGAAACGCCUGACGGAUUUAAAGGACAAUUUACCCAACGGUUCUCCGGAAAUAACCAAAGUUGUGAAACAUUUUGUUCAAACGAUUGAGAAUACAGACACAUUGGUGAAGGAGUCAAAAGAGAAACUUAUUGAGUUGGAAAAACAAAGUGCCGCCAUUGAAAAUUGGUUUAAUGAAAAUGCCAUGCUUUUCGAUUUGAUUGAAAAGAUGCACGAUGAAUUUUAAUUUUUCUUUUUCUCUUUGUUCUUGUUUUGCCUGAUCCUAAAAUGUUUACUUCUCAGCUUACCUUUUAAUGGCUAUAGCAGCUGCCAAUCAAAAACUAUUUUUCUAUAGUAAUUACAAUGUGAAGAUGCAAAUUGGUUUGGGAUUACAAAAGAGACAGGAUCUCAGUAGUUCAGUUCAAAAGCUGCAUUUCUGCUAUAAUCUGUUUAAAUCUAAUAGAAAAUACUUCAGUUAUUGAAGCACAAAAAAAUUCAUGAGAAUUAUAAAAAAAUUAAUUACUUUUUUUCUUUCACAUAGAGCAUUUCUUGUACAGAUUUGUGCACGUUUCUGUGUAAAUGUUAGCAUAAACACCCAUGCUUUUCUUCCUAAAGUUCUUUAUGCAGAUGUAACAAAUGUUGGUGUUGUAACAUUGUUUAUGCAUUGUGCUACAGAGAGGUUGUGCUGAAGAACCAUUAGAAGCUAAAUUUUGUUUCAAAGAUGAGUGGGGCUUAACCCUUAAACAGUUUGUGGGUUUCUAAAAUGCACUCUGUGACCCCGCAAAGCAUUUUCACUGAAAGCAUGUGCAAAAACUGUAAUGAACGCUGAUGUUUCCUCCACAGACUCUUGAUUUACUUUUAUUGGGUCACAAUUUACACAACUUGAUUCUCAAAUAGUGGACGGUUGUAGAGAAAAUCAUUUCUCAAAGCCUGAUUUGAAUGUUGUUCAUCUGCACAUUUUUACUUUCAUUUUUGCAGAAACUGUAGUUCACAAAUUUGCCACUAGGUUGUAGUAUUUUAUGAAAAGUUGCUUGAACAAAAACGUUUCUUGUUGGGACAUUUUUUAUUUUACAAUAUUUUGGAAUUUAGGAACGGCCGCCUGUAGAUCAUUCCUGCUGUUGAUGACGACUGAUUUAUUUUGUCACAUUAGACACAUCUCAUAAAACAGGUAAAUAAAACAAAAUAUUGUGCGUUUGAA